UACGAGGGGGGCAAAUGUUGUUCGGAAUCACUGGGCGUAAAGGGAGCGUAGGCGGGUUUCUAAGUCAGGUGUUUAAUCCCGGGGCCCAACCCCGGACAGGCACUUGAAACUGGGAAUCUUGAAUAGUGGAGAGGUCAGUGGAAUUGGGGGUGUAGCGGUGGAAUGCGUAGAGAUCCCCAAGAACACCAGUUGCGAAGGCGACUUCCUGGCCUGUUCUUGACGCUGAGGCGCGAAAGCUAGGGGAGCAAACGGG
rnacentral:rRNA from 1 species